rnacentral:rRNA from 1 species
UACGAAGGGGGCUAGCGUUGCUCGGAAUCACUGGGCGUAAAGGGUGCGUAGGCGGGGCUUUAAGUCAGGGGUGAAAUCCUGGAGCUCAACUCCAGAACUGCCUUUGAUACUGAAGAUCUUGAGUUCGGGAGAGGUGAGUGGAACUGCGAGUGUAGAGGUGAAAUUCGUAGAUAUUCGCAAGAACACCAGUGGCGAAGGCGGCUCGCUGGCCCGAUACUGACGCUGAGGCACGAAAGCGUGGGGAGCAAACAGG